rnacentral:tRNA from 1 species
UCAUAAAAUAGUUUAAAUAAAACAUUAAUUUUGGGGAUUAAAUUUAUAAGUAAAAUUAUUUUUUUG